CCUACCCGUCCACCACUCUGGAACUUUCCCCUCUCUCGCUCAUCUCGCUCUCUCUGCCCUGCACUAGUAGCGAACCCUAGCGCUCUCCCCUCCCCUCCCCUUGCCGCCACCCCCACGCACCCGUCCCCCGCCGCCACCCACCCGUCCCCUCGCCGCCACCCACCAGUCCCGUCGCCGCCACCCACCUCGGCCACACCUCCCCUCCCGACCUCAGAUCCAACUUCCCACCACCACGUCGGCGCCCAAUCCCGGCGACCUAAGGCGGGAUUCUACGGUGCCCAGCACACCUACACCCGUCAACGGCCAUGGAGGCGGUGGCUCUCUCCGCCAGCGACGUGCCGACCAUGAACGCGGUCCUCGCCAACUCGUUCAGCGCCGACGAGGCGACGCCGCACCCCGCGGAGUAGGCCCUCUCCUCUGUUACCGUCCCGUCCUUCUCCUUCACGCAUCUUCCCUCUCUCUCAUGUACAUAUACAACAGCCCCGCCAUGGAUGGCCUCUUCAGGAGCUCAUGCCGCCGCUACAGUUCGUCCGUGUCGCCGCCCCGCGGACCACCCCCGCGCCUCUGUCGCCCCACCAUCUAAGCCACGACACCCGCUCGUCCUCUACUUCGAGCGACGGGACAUGCGCCGCCCCUCAUUGACCUCCAGCGAGCUCCAAGUCCCACGAUCCACGACAUCCAGCCAGCCACGUUCCACUCGUCGCCGGCCUGCCCCGCAAUUAGCAGGCCCUCAUCGUCAUCCUAAUGGCCGGGUCGCCUGUUGAAGGAGUUCAUUCUGGGCAGCCGGAGGCGUACGAGUUCAAGAUCGGCGACAAGUUUUUUUGAAGGUCCGGAGACCCACCCCUGGACCAAGUUAUCGAGAUGCUACAGAAGCACAAGGAUAAGUCUCAAGAUGAAAUCUAGCUAGCUGGCUACAAGCUGGUCGAAUCCUCGAUGUCCUAUGUUGCCGGCAACCCCAAAAUGUCUGACACUGAAUUCGACAAGCUCAAGCUCAUACUCAAGACCAGUAUGAAACAAGAUUUGCGAUUUGGAAGCUGGGAAGUUGGGGAAUGCGAAGUUUGAAGAGACCUGGAGUAUCUAGACUGAUUGCCAUGUGUAUAUGUGUUAUAUGAUGAUGUAACACACUGAUUCUGCUAUUGUAUGAUGUAUCAAACUGAUUUUGGCUAUUAUCUUUGUCUGUUCCCAUUUGAA